UAUAUAUAUAUAUAUAUAUAUGGACGUAUACAUGAAUAUGAGUUCGGUAAAUAAUGAUAUUAUGGAAAUGCAUAACUAGGCUUCAAAUUCAUCUAUUAGUGUAAGUAGAUAAUUAAUGCGUUUAUUUAUGUAUUAUAAAGUACCUAAGUGCGUUAGGAAGCGGUGCUUAGCUCGGUAAGCCUUCUAUACAUAUAUAUAUAUAUAUAUAUGGGCCGAAUAGACUUAGCUUAAACGGAUAGACUAACUAUAAGACUUAAUAGUUAAUAAUGACAACAAGGUGACUUGUUGCCUAAUUCACCUAUCCAUGUACACUAAGUGCUUUAUUGCAUAUCAUCGGUUAGGUUUAAGAGUUGUAUAUGUAUAUGUAUAUGUAUAUAUGUACAUAUAUACAUAUGCAUGCAUACAUGCUAAAUAUAUAUGGUUAACUUAGUAAAUAAGCAACACGCUAUAAAAAUGAUUAACAUGGAUGAUGAGGUGCAACAAUAAUAAAUGAGCUAGUAAAAGGAGUAAAUACGUUUUAUGAUAAUAAACAAGAUACAAUAGGAACCAAAAACCAAUGGUAAGUUUAAUAAUAGCUUAAGGUGUCUAGCUGGCUUUAGAAGCGAGUGAUGUGACGUGUGAGCACACGGGUAGUUAGGAUGUUAUAGAGUAUGUAAUUCAAUAGCAUAGUCUAAUGCUACCAAUGUUUGCAGGAUCAUGUUCGGAUUGGAGACUUUAAUUGGUUCUCCAAUGUAGAGUCCAAGUGACUAGAGUCCAAGGAGUGUUCGAGUUGGAGUCCAAUGCAACCAAGAUGAUGUUUCUUUGGCUGCAGGUACUAUGGUAUAGUCGAUGGGUCGGUAGCAGUGUGCUUGGGAUAUUAUGACUGAAGCUCACCGCGACGGUUGUAAUUGUCGGACCACGGGCUGUCCACUGUUUUAUAGGUUUGGUAUAGCUUGUGACGUUUGUGUCACAUAUUCUUUGUAAAGGCAUAGUUGUUUUGUAAAUAUUGUGUUAAUAAGACUCAUACAGAUAGAUGUUAAAUGGCUC